AAAACUUUCAACAACGGAUCUCUUGGUUCUGGCGUCGAUGAAGAACGCAGCGAAAUGCGAUAAGUAAUGUGAAUUGCAGAAUUCAGUGAAUCAUCGAAUCUUUGAACGCACAUUGCGCCCCUUGGUAUUCCGAGGGGCAUGCCUGUUCGAGCGUCAUUGC
rnacentral:rRNA from 1 species